rnacentral:rRNA from 1 species
ACUGUCACUCCUACGGGGAGGCAGCAGUGGGGAAUAUUGCACAAUGGGCGCAAGCCUGAUGCAGCCAUGCCGCGUGUAUGAAGAAGGCCUUCGGGUUGUAAAGUACUUUCAGUCGUGAGGAAGGCGGCGUCGUUAAUAGCGGCGUUGUUUGACGUUAGCGACAGAAGAAGCACCGGCUAACUCCGUGCCAGCAGCCGCGGUAAUACGGAGGGUGCGAGCGUUAAUCGGAAUUACUGGGCGUAAAGCGCAUGCAGGUGGUUUGUUAAGUCAGAUGUGAAAGCCCGGGGCUCAACCUCGGAAUUGCAUUUGAAACUGGCAGACUAGAGUACUGUAGAGGGGGGUAGGAAUUUCAGGUGUAGCGGUGAAAUGCGUAGAGAUCUGAAGGAAUACCGGUGGCGAAGGCGGCCCCCUGGACAGAUACUGACACUCAGAUGCGAAAGCGUGGGGAGCAAACAGGAUUAGAUACCCUGGUAG